GGGCCCGCACAAGCGGAGGAACAUGUGGUUUAAUUCGAUGAUACGCGAGGAACCUUACCCGGGCUCGAACGGCUGUUGAAUGUAAAUGAAAAUUUACAGUUCGCAAGAACAAUGGUCGAGGUGCUGCAUGGUUGUCGUCAGCUCGUGCCGUGAGGUGUCGGCUUAAGUGCCAUAACGAGCGCAACCCUUGUCGUCUGUUGCCAGCGAGUAAAGUCGGGGACUCAGACGAGACUGCCUGCGUAAGCAGAGAGGAAGGGGGGAUGACGUCAAAUCAGCACGGCCCUUACGUCCGGGGCGACACACGUGUUACAAUGGGCAAUACAGAGGGUUGCCGUCACGCGAGUGAUAGCCAAUCCCUAAAGUUGCUCCCAGUUCGGAUUGGAGUCUGCAACUCGACUCCAUGAAGUUGGAUUCGCUAGUAAUCGCGCAUCAGCCAGGCG
rnacentral:rRNA from 1 species